AGGAGAGUUCUUGGAAAAUGAGAAAUCGGCCUUGUAUUAUUUUCAGUGCAAAUAUUUCACCAAUUUCCCCCUUUGGAGAGCCAAAGAGAAGGGUCCCUAAACCGUCUACUUUCGCGACGCUCCCUCACUCUGGGCAACAGGAGUGAAGCGUGGAGACUAAGGACUACAUUUCCUAGAAUGCAUGGAAGCUGACCCGGAAGUUUAAAUUCCGCUCUCUCUAGAGGAGAUUUGUAACGAGUGAAAUAUACAUAAACCACCGAAUGUAUUUUCCUGGCAAUAGUACAUGCCUUCUUACCUAGGUGGGAGUCAUUUCCGGAAACAGCGGCUUCUUGAGGCCCCAGAACGAAUUCACGGACUUCGGGAGGCGGAAGAGUGGCGCUUUGGGUCGGAAGGCGGAGGUCAGAGAGCAGAAUUGGCAGGAUAAUGGGUUUGUGGCCCAGGAUCUGAGGCAGAGGUGGCUCUUCGAGGCCCAUUAUCCCGGGUUGCUCUGGGUCUUAGUUGCAGCAGGCAGGCUCCUUGUUUGCAGCUCACGGGCUCCUUAGUUGUGGCAUGCGAACUCUUAGUUGCAGCAUGCGUGUGGGAUCUAGUUCCCUGACCAGGGAUGGAACCCGUGUCCCCUGCAUUGGAAGGCAGAUUCUUAACCACUGUGCCACCAGGGAAGUCCCCGAAUCCUCUUUACAAAAAUAAAAUAAAAUAAAAGUACUUCUGCAUACUAUCCAAGUUUAUAUGUGUUACAGAUAUCUUUCAGUCAGUCGUUUGUAUUUUAACCUUGUGUUACCUUAUUUUUCAUAUUUACAUCUUUGAUCCAUUUGAGUAAAAUUUUAAAAAUAUGUUAUGAGGUAGGGAUCUGCUUUUAUUUUUCUUCACAUUGUGAACCGGUUUUCUUUAUUUCUUUUUUUUUUUUUACAUCUUUAUUGGUGUAUAAUUGCUUUACAAUGCUGUAUUAGUUUCUGCUGUAUAACAAAGUGAAUCAGCUAUAUGUAUACAUAUAUCCCCAUAUCCCCUCCCUCUUCAGCCUCCCUCCCACCCUCCCUAUCCCAUCCCUCUAGGUGUGAACCAGUUUUCUGAACACCAUUUAUUACUUCAUCUUUUUCUGACAAAAUCAUGCUCUAUCUUACAGUCAACUUAACAGGUUGUAAAUUCCCAUUUAUAUGAGUCUGUUUCUGGAAUCUAUUUGCUUGUUUCUAUAGACCAUAUGUUGAAAUACUGUAAUUUUGUAAUUCUUUUCAGAGUUGUUCUCCACCUCUUUGAUCCAUCUUUUUAGAAUUGUCUUAGCAAUUUGUGGCCCUUUAUUGGUUGAUGACUUUGUGGUGAUUGCCAGCAACUUCUGCUGGAAUUCUGAUUAGAAUUAUGUUGACUUAAUAAACUACUUUCUUCUUU